AUACAGAGGGUGCAAGCGUUAAUCGGAUUUACUGGGCGUAAAGCGCGCGUAGGUGGCUAAUUAAGUCAAAUGUGAAAUCCCCGAGCUUAACUUGGGAAUUGCAUUCGAUACUGGUUAGCUAGAGUAUUGGAGAGGAUGGUAGAAUUCCAGGUGUAGCGGUGAAAUGCGUAGAGAUCUGGAGGAAUACCGAUGGCGAAGGCAGCCAUCUGGCCUAAUACUGACACUGAGGUGCGAAAGCAUGGGGAGCAAACAGGAUUAGAUACCCUGGUAGUCCAUGCCGUAAACGAUGUCUACUAGCCGUUGGGGCCCUUGAGGCUUUAGUGGCGCAGCUAACGCGAUAAGUAGACCGCCUGGGGAGUACGGUCGCAAGACUAAAACUCAAAUGAAUUGACGUGG
rnacentral:rRNA from 1 species